UAUAUAUAUACAUCUGCAUCCUAGUGAAUCUACAUAAGUAAGGCUUAGUUUGGUAUUGAGGUCUAUCUAACGCUAAUAGAUAAAAUGGAGUUGUGGAAAAAGCAUAUAGAAAUAUGUUUAUGCGUUAUACGGUAGAACCGCAGAAAAUAUAUUGUAACCGACUCAUCGAUAUGCGGAGCGCAAUAUUACAUACAGAAACAAACAGGAUAUUUUUUCAACGUACUUUCUCACCGCACGUAACGCAAUCUCCCCGCAAUCCCAAACGAAGCCUAAAUAAAUUUAUAAUAUUCCAGUAAUUAAUCACAUAACUUAU
rnacentral:lncRNA from 1 species